CUAUUCCUUCUCAAAGUAAAAUGGCAUCUGUCAAAUGGCAAAGUAAUUUUUUGGUUUAAUUUACUAAUUACUUUGAUGUAGUGAUUCAUAUUUGUUUUAAGUUAUUUU